AUACGGAGGGUCCAAGCGUUAUCCGGAAUCAUUGGGUUUAAAGGGUCCGCAGGCGGUCAAUUAAGUCAGAGGUGAAAGCCCAUCGCUCAACGAUGGAACUGCCUUUGAUACUGGUUGACUUGAGUUAUACGGAAGUAGAUAGAAUAAGUAGUGUAGCGGUGAAAUGCAUAGAUAUUACUUAGACUACCGAUUGCGAAGGCAGUCUACUACGUAUAUACUGACGCUGAGGGACGAAAGCGUGGGGAGCGAACAGGAUUAGAAACCCCAGUAGUCC
rnacentral:rRNA from 1 species